UUGAACGCUGGCGGCAUGCUUUACCCCUGCAAGUCGAACGGUAACAGGCCUUCGGGUGCUGACGAGUGGCGACCGGGUGAGUAAUGCAUCGGAACGUACCCAGAGGUGGGGGAUAACGCAGCGAAAGCUGUGCUAAUACCGCAUGUGAUCUGAGGAUGAAAGCGGGGGACCGAGCAGCAAUGUUUGGCCUCGCGCCUUUGGAGCGGCCGAUGUCGGAUUAGCUAGUUGGUGGGGUAAAGGCCUACCAAGGCGACGAUCCGUAGCUGGUCUGAGAGGACGACAAGCCACACUGGGACUGAGACACGGCCCAGACUCCUACGGGAGGCAGCAGUGGGGAAUUUUGGACAAUGGGCGCAAGCCUGAUCCAGCAAUGCCGCGUGCGGGAAGAAGGCCUUCGGGUUGUAAACCGCUUUUGGCAGGAACGAAACGGUGUCCGCUAAUACCGGGCGCUAAUGACGGUACCUGCAGAAUAAGCACCGGCUAACUACGUG
rnacentral:rRNA from 1 species